UACAGAGGUCCCAAGCGUUGUUCGGAUUCACUGGGCGUAAAGCGCACGUAGGCGGCUUUUUAAGUCAGGGGUGAAAUCCUGGAGCUCAACUCCAGAACUGCCUUUGAUACUGGGAAGCUUGAGUCCGGAAGAGGUGAGUGGAACUCCGAGUGUAGAGGUGAAAUUCGUAGAUAUUCGGAAGAACACCAGUGGCGAAGGCGGCUCACUGGUCCGGUACUGACGCUGAGGUGCGAAAGCGUGGGGAGCAAACAGG
rnacentral:rRNA from 1 species